rnacentral:rRNA from 1 species
AUUUCGGUUGUCGAUGGGGAUGCGUUCCAUUAGGCAGUUGGCGGGGUAACGGCCCACCAAACCAACGAUGGAUAGGGGUUCCGAGAGGAAGGUCCCCCACAUUGGAACUGAGACACGGUCCAAACUCCUACGGGAGGCAGCAGUGAGGAAUAUUGGUCAAUGGACGAGAGUCUGAACCAGCCAAGUAGCGUGAAGGAUGACUGCCCUAUGGGUUGUAAACUUCUUUUAUACGGGAAUAAAGUAAGCCACGUGUGGCUUUUUGUAUGUACCGUAUGAAUAAGGAUCGGCUAACUCCGUGCCAGCAGCCGCGGUAAUACGGAGGAUCCGAGCGUUAUCCGGAUUUAUUGGGUUUAAAGGGAGCGUAGGCGGGUUGUUAAGUCAGUUGUGAAAGUUUGCGGCUCAACCGUAAAAUUGCAGUUGAUACUGGCGACCUUGAGUGCAACAGAGGUAGGCGGAAUUCGUGGUGUAGCGGUGAAAUGCUUAGAUAUCACGAAGAACUCCGAUUGCGAAGGCAGCUUACUGGAUUGUAACUGACGCUGAUGCUCGAAAGUGUGGGUAUCAAACAGGAUUAGAUACCCUGGUAGUCCACACAGUAAACGAUGAAUACUCGCUGUUGGCGAUAUACGGUCAGCGGCCAAGCGAAAGCAUUAAGUAUUCCACCUGGGGAGUACGCCGGCAACGGUGAAACUCAA